rnacentral:rRNA from 1 species
AGAGUUUGAUCCUGGCUCAGGACGAACGCUGGCGGCGUGCUUAACACAUGCAAGUCGAACGGAGCACCCUUGAUUGAGGUUUCGGCCAAAUGAUAGGAAUGCUUAGUGGCGGACUGGUGAGUAACGCGUGAGGAACCUGCCUUUCAGAGGGGGACAACAGUUGGAAACGACUGCUAAUACCGCAUGACGCAUUUUGAUCGCAUGGUCGAAAUGCCAAAGAUUUAUCGCUGAAAGAUGGCCUCGCGUCUGAUUAGAUAGUUGGCGGGGUAACGGCCCACCAAGUCGACGAUCAGUAGCCGGACUGAGAGGUUGACCGGCCACAUUGGGACUGAGAUACGGCCCAGACUCCUACGGGAGGCAGCAGUGGGGAAUAUUGGGCAAUGGGCGCAAGCCUGACCCAGCAACGCCGCGUGAAGGAAGAAGGCUUUCGGGUUGUAAACUUCUUUUAAGUGGGAAGAGUAGAAGACGGUACCACUUGAAUAAGCCACGGCUAACUACGUGCCAGCAGCCGCGGUAAUACGUAGGUGGCAAGCGUUGUCCGGAUUUACUGGGUGUAAAGGGCGUGCAGCCGGGCAUGCAAGUCAGAUGUGAAAUCUCAGGGCUUAACCCUGAAACUGCAUUUGAAACUGUAUGUCUUGAGUGCCGGAGAGGUAAUCGGAAUUCCUUGUGUAGCGGUGAAAUGCGUAGAUAUAAGGAAGAACACCAGUGGCGAAGGCGGAUUACUGGACGGUAACUGACGGUGAGGCGCGAAAGCGUGGGGAGCGAACAGGAUUAGAUACCCUGGUAGUCCACGCUGUAAACGAUGGAUACUAGGUGUGCGGGGACUGACCCCCUGCGUGCCGCAGUUAACACAAUAAGUAUCCCACCUGGGGAGUACGAUCGCAAGGUUGAAACUCAAAGGAAUUGACGGGGGCCCGCACAAGCGGUGGAUUAUGUGGUUUAAUUCGAAGCAACGCGAAGAACCUUACCAGGUCUUGACAUCCUGCUAACGAAGUAGAGAUACAUUAGGUGCCCUUCGGGGAAAGCAGAGACAGGUGGUGCAUGGUUGUCGUCAGCUCGUGUCGUGAGAUGUUGGGUUAAGUCCCGCAACGAGCGCAACCCCUAUUGUUAGUUGCUACGCAAGAGCACUCUAGCGAGACUGCCGUUGACAAAACGGAGGAAGGUGGGGACGACGUCAAAUCAUCAUGCCCCUUAUGACCUGGGCUACACACGUAAUACAAUGG